CCCUUAGAUGUUCUGGGCCGCACGCGCGCUACACUGACGAAGUCAGCGAGCAUGUCCUACGCCGACAGGUGCGGGGAAUCUUGUCAAACUUCGUCGUGAUGGGGAUUGAUUAUUGAAAUUCUUGAUCAUCAACGAGGAAUUCCUAGUAAGCGCAAGUCAGCAGCUUGCGUUGAUUACGUCCCUGCCCUUUGUACACACCGCCCGUCGCUACUACCGAUUGAAUGGUUUAGUGAGAUCUUCGGAUUGGCGCCACUGCGGCUCAGCAAUGGGCUCGGUGGAGGCCGAAAAGUUGAUCAAACUUGAUCAUUUAGAGGAAGUAAAAGUCGUAACA
rnacentral:rRNA from 1 species